AACUAUUAUGUAUUUAUAUGUGUAGUAGACAGUACUAGCUCAAGCUCCUCUACUGCUAGUAUCAGUCAAACCAGGAGAGAGACUGAAGAAGGUACAUUUAGAUCUAAUAUUGCUCAUAGAGUAAUGACAGAAUGUACUGGAAUCAUAAAAGAGAACCUCGACCUAAGUACAUGUUCACUGGUAGAUAGCCUGCUUGAGAAGAGGAUAAUAAACGAAAAGCAAAAGAAUCAAAUUACUGAUCAGCACUGUGGAUUGAAUGCUGAUCAGAGAAUGGACAAGUUACUUAGUUUAGUUAAAGCAUCCAUUCAAGUGAAUGGCCAAGUAUUUCAUUU